rnacentral:misc_RNA from 1 species
GAUGUAGAACGCAGCGAAAUGCGAUACGUAAUGUGAAUUGCAGAAUUCAGUGAAUCAUCGAGUCUUUGAACGCACAUUGCGCCCUCUGGUAUUCCGGAGGGCAUGCCUGUCCGAGCGUCAUUGCUGCCCUCAAGCACGGCUUGUGUGUUGGGCUCCGUCCCCCGAUCCCGGGGGACGGGCCCGAAAGGCAGCGGCGGCACCGCGUCCGGUCCUCGAGCGUAUGGGGCUUUGUCACCCGCUCUGUAGGCCCGGCCGGCGCUUGCCGAUCAACCAAAUUUUUAUCCAGGUUGACCUCGGAUCAGGUAGGGAUACCCGCUGAACUUAAGCAUAUCAAUAAGCGGAGGA